AUUAUUUAUGGUAGUUACUGUAUGAUAUUAUUGCAUGUUAUUUUAUUUAUGGUUCUUAUGUUAAGAUAAUUAUUUACGCUAUUUCUGUUUAAGCAACUAAUGCUCUUUUGUUGUUGUUUUUGUUUUUGUUGUUCCUUUUCUUCACUGAGCCGAGGAUCGAUUGGAAACAACCUCUCUGCCCUUUCGGGUAGGGGUAAGGCCC
rnacentral:lncRNA from 1 species